GACGAACGCUGGCGGCGUGCUUAACACAUGCAAGUCGAACGCUGAAGCUCAGCUUUUGUUGGGUGGAUGAGUGGCGAACGGGUGAGUAACACGUGAGUAACCUGCCUCCUUCUUUGGGAUAACGCCCGGAAACGGGUGCUAAUACUGGAUAUUCACUGGUCUUCGCAUGGGGGUUGGUGGAAAGGGUUUUUCUGGUGGGGGAUGGGCUCGCGGCCUAUCAGCUUGUUGGUGGGGUGAUGGCCUACCAAGGCUUUGACGGGUAGCCGGCCUGAGAGGGUGACCGGGCACGUGGGGACUGAGAUACGGCCCAGACUCCUACGGGGGGCAGCAGUGGGGAAUAUUGCACAAUGGGCGGAAGCCUGAUGCAGCGACGCCGCGUGAGGGAUGGAGGCCUUCGGGUUGUGAACCUCUUUCGCUCAUGGUCAAGCCGCAACAAUGGUUGUGGUGAGGGUAGUGGGUAAAGAAGCGCCGGCUAACUACGUG
rnacentral:rRNA from 1 species